UACAGAGGCCUCGAGCGUUAAUCGGAGUCACUGGGCUUAAAGGGUGCGUAGGCGGGCCGGCAAGUGCUUUGUGAAAUCCCAUGGCUCAACCAUGGAAUUGCUUGGCAGACUGCCGGUCUUGAGGUCGGUAGAGGUCGCUGGAACUCUAGGUGGAGCGGUGAAAUGCGUAGAUAUCUAGAGGAACGCCGAUGGUGAAGACAGGCGACUGGGCCGAUUCUGACGCUGAGGCACGAAAGCGUGGGGAGCAAACGGG
rnacentral:rRNA from 1 species